GAGGGUAUAGUUCAGUGGUGGAGCAUGUGCUUAGCAUGCACGAGGUCCUGGGUUCAAUCCCCAGUCCCUCCA
rnacentral:tRNA from 1 species